rnacentral:rRNA from 1 species
CAUGAACGCUGGCGGCGUGCUUAACACAUGCAAGUCGAGCGAUGAAGUUUCCUUCGGGAAACGGAUUAGCGGCGGACGGGUGAGUAACACGUGGGUAGCCUGCCUCAUAGAGUGGAAUAGCCUUCCGAAAGGAAGAUUAAUACCGCAUAACGUUGAAAGAUGGCAUCAUCAUUCAACCAAAGGAGUAAUCCGCUAUGAGAUGGACCCGCGGCGCAUUAGCUAGUUGGUGGGGUAACGGCCUACCAAGGCGACGAUGCGUAGCCGACCUGAGAGGGUGAUCGGCCACAUUGGGACUGAGACACGGCCCAGACUCCUACGGGAGGCAGCAGUGGGGAAUAUUGCACAAUGGGGGGAACCCUGAUGCAGCAACGCCGCGUGAGUGAUGAAGGUUUUCGGAUCGUAAAGCUCUGUCUUUGGGGAAGAUAAUGACGGUACCCAAGGAGGAAGCCACGGCUAACUACGUGCCAGCAGCCGCGGUAACAC